rnacentral:tRNA from 1 species
GCCUGGGUGGCUUGGUCGGUUAAGCGUCCGACUUCGGCUCAGGUCAUGAUCUCACGGUCUGUGGGUUCGAGCCCCACGUCGGGCU